rnacentral:rRNA from 1 species
AUUGAACGCUGGCGACAUGCCUUACACAUGCAAGUCGAACGGCAGCACGGGUGCUUGCACCUGGUGGCGAGUGGCGAACGGGUGAGUAAUACAUCGGAACAUGUCCUGUAGUGGGGGAUAGCCCGGCGAAAGCCGGAUUAAUACCGCAUACGAUCUACGGAUGAAAGCGGGGGGCCUUCGGGCCUCGCGCUAUAGGGUUGGCCGAUGGCUGAUUAGCUAGUUGGUGGGGUAAAGGCCUACCAAGGCGACGAUCAGUAGCUGGUCUGAGAGGACGACCAGUCACACUGGGACUGAGACACGGCCCAGACUCCUACGGGAGGCAGCAGUGGGGAAUUUUGGACAAUGGGCGAAAGCCUGAUCCAGCAAUGCCGCGUGUGUGAAGAAGGCCUUCGGGUUGUAAAGCACUUUUGUCCGGAAAGAAAUCCUUGGCCCUAAUACGGUCGGGGGAUGACGGUACCGGAAGAAUAAGCACCGGCUAACUACGUG